AGGUAAUGUAUCUUUGAUUCUGUUCUUUUCUAGACAAUGCUGAUUCCAUUGAUUAUGUGUGGUAUUUUAUCCGUAAUCCCAGUGUUCAUGAGUGUGACUGAGAUGAGUUUGUUUGUGAAAAUUUGUGGGUUUUUUUUUUUAGUUUCAGGAAGGUGUUUCAAACUUUCAGGAUAGCUUUUCAGAAAAUCGGAUACUAGAAAAUUUGAAAUUUUUUUUGGCUUGGUUACGCAGGACCGAAACGCGAUGGGAGAUUCAAUACCUGUCAUGCUAAGACUAUGCUUUUGAACUUUUAUGUUGACUUGGACAAGUAAGAAGUUGUAUUGAAUGAUUACGACAUUUGUUUCAUUUAGGUUGUUAUUAAAGAAAUUUUAGGAUGUCUUGAAGCAUUAUCAGUAAUUCUAUCAAGAAAGUGUUAAAAUUUGUUAUCAUUGUAAAACACAUAUCCUAUCUAGGAUAUCUUAUGGUACUUUUAGGAUGGGUUUCCAGAAAAUAAAUGAGUAAGCAUAAGCCUUUACUUCAAAAAUGAAUUAAUUGUGAAUGUACCAGGAUUGAACUCGAGAACUCUCGUAAAUGGAAUUCAAUCCUAGUGUGCAGCCGCUACGCCAAGAGUGUUAUACUUGCCAAGUGUUAUAAUUAAAUCAAUAUAAACAACAUAUUUAUAUUUAAUUAAAACCAGAAAAAAAGAAUUUGUUUCCAAAAGAAAUCGAAUGCGUGUUUAAUGUGCGAUACGAGUUGUGUAAGAGUAGAGGGCUAGCUGCUAGGCUACGGUGUAUAUUUGUUUUGUAAAGAUAUGUGAACUUAUUUAUUCACAUAUCUUAUCUAAGAUACCAUUGGUGAUAUUCAGGAUGGGUUUCCAAAAAUCGAAUAUGAAAAUGAGAUUACCAAGACACAAGACCACUAAGCCAAUGUAUGAUAUCUCAAAAUGAGUAAGCUUUUAAAAGCAAUAUAAGAAAUUCUCUUGCUGAUUGAUACAAAAAUUAAAAAAAUGUUCAGAUUCCAUUAAGGAAAAAGUGACCAUAAAAUAUGAUGUGGGUUUCAUAAUACAUAAAUAUUAGUCUUAAAACAUAAGAGGGAAAUUGAUAACAUCAGAUUAAUCAUCCAUCCAACAUUUCAAGCUUUUGCCAGUCAAAUAAUUUA
rnacentral:lncRNA from 1 species